UACGUAGGGUGCAAGCGUUGUCCGGAAUUAUUGGGCGUAAAGAGCUCGUAGGCGGUUCGUCACGUCGGCUGUGAAAACCUGAGGCUCAACCUCAGGCCUGCAGUCGAUACGGGCGGACUUGAGUACUGCAGGGGAGACUGGAAUUCCUGGUGUAGCGGUGAAAUGCGCAGAUAUCGGGAGGAACACCGGUGGCGAAGGCGGUUCUCUGGGCCUGACCUGACGCUGAGGAGCGAAAGCGUGGGGAGCAAACAGG
rnacentral:rRNA from 1 species